rnacentral:rRNA from 1 species
UGGGGAAUUUUGGACAAUGGGGGAAACCCUGAUCCAGCCAUCCCGCGUGUGCGAUGAAGGCCUUCGGGUUGUAAAGCACUUUUGGCAGGAAAGAAACGUCGCGGGUUAAUACCCCGCGAAACUGACGGUACCUGCAGAAUAAGCACCGGCUAACUACGUGCCAGCAGCCGCGGUAAUACGUAGGGUGCAAGCGUUAAUCGGAAUUACUGGGCGUAAAGCGUGCGCAGGCGGUUCGGAAAGAAAGAUGUGAAAUCCCAGAGCUUAACUUUGGAACUGCAUUUUUAACUACCGGGCUAGAGUGUGUCAGAGGGAGGUGGAAUUCCGCGUGUAGCAGUGAAAUGCGUAGAUAUGCGGAGGAACACCGAUGGCGAAGGCAGCCUCCUGGGAUAACACUGACGCUCAUGCACGAAAGCGUGGGGAGCAAACAGGAUUAGAUACCCUGGUAGUCCACGCCCUAAACGAUGUCAACUAGCUGUUGGGGCCUUUCGGGCCUUGGUAGCGCAGCUAACGCGUGAAGUUGACCGCCUGGGGAGU